AAACAACUACUGUCUGUAAAUGACAAAAAGACUUUAAUAAAAAUAUCCUUCACACCUUUCCUUAUCAAAAAAACACAUUCUACUUUCCUUACCUACUUUUCAUACACAGUUGUUUCUUUCACCCUUAUAUUUCUAAGUAGUAUUAAUUCUAUAUAAUGAUUAGAAUUCUUAACCUUUAGAAUCCUUAAUUUCUAGUGAAAACUAAGAAGUAAGCAAUUAUGGACUGUUACACUGGUGUUCUGUGGAUUGGCACAUUUAGAAAUACCUUUUAUAAUUUCUAGAAGUAUAUUUUUCUUCAGUAAAUUUUUCAAUGUGACAUAAAACACAUUUACCAAUAGACCCAAAUGUCUUUAGUUUUUCUGUAAUAAGAAGCCAAAAGUAGAUAAACGUAUCAAAUAAUUAAUGUUUCAUUAUUUUAUCUUAUUUGGAAGUGACCUAGAUAUUCAAUAAAUAUCCAGCACUUAACUUAGUAUAAUUUUUCCCUAAUUUCCAAGUAGCCUCCCCCCCCCCUUUUUUUUUUGUUCUUCUGAUAAGAACUACCUCCCUGAAGUUUGCAUUUCAAAGAAAAAGCUCCCAGUUCCAGAAAACACUGGGUAGAACAUUCACAUCUCAAAGGCACAGAGAAAGGAUGUAAGAUCCACCCAGGAGGACUCUUAUUCCCUAAAUCCAGAUGUUUUACAAUAUCUGCAAGCCUUUUCAGAUGAAUAGGGGAGUUUGGGAGUUGGUAAAUAAAAGAGAUGGGCUUUGAAUUGUUUCUAGAGCUGCAUUUACAUUCUGUCAAGAUUCUAUUUGUAACAUAAAUACAGUUUUUAAUUCCUCAACCUGAAUGAUAUCAAGAGGCUGACUCUCUCACUCAACUACACGAUCUUCAGUUCCCUUCUUUAUAUAAAGGAGAUUUCCUAUGUUCUAUAUUUAGAACUGUGUGUCUUUGUGAUUUAGUAAAUCUUUCACAGUGGCUUCAGAAUGUUUCUCUUUCCCUCUGGGUACAUAGUUUCAUUUCAGCUUAGAGAAGGCCUUAGAAAGAGUUCCUCUGAGGCUCUGAAUAUCAGCUGCCAAUUUGGCCAACUUCUGACCAUAGAGCUCACUAAAUAAAUCCUUUCAAAUAUCUUAUUAACAGGUUUUAGGUGGGACAAACAGUAAAUAUUCCUGGCAGUAUUGAACAACCUUUUCUUUUCUUUUUCUUUUCAACCAAAGAUAUCCCUAACAAAUGACUCAAAACCAGUAGCCUUUUAUGGCUUAACCAUGGAUGCAAGAGGCAUCCCCAAGAGGGUGCAAAAGAACCACAGCCAUUUCCAAAGAUAACAAAAGAAAGAAAGACUUGGACAAUUCCCCUGAUAGCUGGCAACAGUUGGUAGGACACUAGCCACAAAUGAGGUGCAACCCACAUUUCUGUCCAGUCACAUUUUUGGAGCCCCCAACCUGACAGCUGAUCUGCCUGUACCUAAAGAACUGACAACCUGAGUGCCCCAACAGACAGAAAGCCAAGCCAAGUUCUCAGGACACAAAGCAAGACAAAUGAGAAAGAAACAGCUGUCACUGGGAGAGAAAGGAUGGAUAACCAGUGGAUACCCAAAUGCAAAUUCAUGAGCCCCAAUUCAAAGAUCUAAUUCUUACAAAUGGUUUUCUCCUGCCAAUCCAAAUUUGGAAAGGAAGAGACAACGUGAAAUUUUACCUUCCUCUCUCAACCAGGCACCAUAGAUAGAGACCCAGGAGAGCUGACUUUGGUAAAAAUUUUCACCCUUUGUGAGCUUCUGCCAGUUUUCUCAGGAUCCCAUCUGUAGGUUCUGGAGUGAGUGGAGUGUCCCAGCAGGUCUCAUCCUGGUCACCAGAAACUGGAGAGGAGGAAAAAUAAUUUUCCCUCUAUCCUUUACAGUAAGCGCUUGGCUGAGACUCCUUUUUCUCUAGGACACCUCAUAAAUGGAUAAACUUACCUAGGUUAAAAGUUCUCCACUGUGGCCACUGUAAUUUAAGAUUAACUUUGGUAAGGUUAACUUACUUGUUCAGCCUUAAAACAAAAUUUUAUUCACCUGAGCCCUCACACUGGCCCCAGUCCAGUUUAAGUUGGACCCAGUCUGAUUCCAACUGGUUUCUGGAUCCAGUCUGGAAAAAGAAAUGCUCGAAUAAAGUCUGAAAGUUCAUAAUGCAAAACCUAUGGAGCUAGGAUCCAAGAAGGAUUACCCAAGACCUUCAGAGGCAGCGAGAAAGCAGCAAGCUCAAUGAACUCAGCGGGUACCUACAUCUGGUUGCUCAUUCUUCCUGGGAGUCGUCAGGGGUCUCCCUCCUUUGUUCCCUCUUCUGACACCAGAACUAUUAACACGUAAACUGAGGCAUAUUAAAAAUUUUAAGAGUUUCUCUGAGCAAACAUCGAUUCAAAUUGGGCAGUGGCAAACCGGAAGUGGUUAGGUGCCCUCCAUCAACAGGCACUCAGGGAGAGACUCAUAUAGAGAAAAGGCAGAGGCAAAGCUAGGAAAUUAUUAAUUGGCUGUAUCUUAGAGCCUAAGUUUGUGAUUGGUUGUCUUUGGGUUUUGGAUUUCAUAACCUUGUGAGCUUUAUAGGCUUAGAUUUUGGUUUGCUUACAUAGGCCACCAUGGCAUUAGAGCCACCUCAGUCUAAUGGCCUCCUUGUUAAUUAAUUUAACAAUAGUUACCAAGAGGAUUUUCUACUUGGUUUACUCCACUUGCUUUUGAGCCUGUGGUGAAAAAUUCUACCUUCUGAGUUAGUGUGGGUGGAGAGGGCCUAGGAUGAUGUCAAAUCACAGUCUUGCCUCCUCCCCUCAGGAAGUAAAGUCCACUGGCAGGAAUGCCUAAAUUGGCUCUAACCUUCCCAGCUCUUACAAUGCUUGCUUGUUUUCACAGUACAGCAGAAGGAAACACCUUGGAAAAAGAGUAACAUUCUAGAAAAUUGUACGAUUUAUUUUUCUUUCCAGAUUCCCUCAUCUGUGUAGGAUUCCUUUGCUGAACACCACAUCAAAGGGAUCUUCCGCAUUUAAAGCAGGCGACGUAUCAUGCUGAAGAGGGAAGAGAAGGUCCGACUUUACACUAAAACCCCAGAUGGAGGUUGGGGAUGGAUGGUUGUAUUUCAUUUCUUCCUGGUAAAUGUGUUUGUGAUGGGGAUGACCAAGACUUUUGCAAUUUUCUUUGUGGUUUUUCAAGAAGAAUUUGAAGGCACCUCAGAGCAAAUUGGCUGGAUUGGAUCCAUCAUGUCAUCACUUCGUUUUUUUGGAGGUCCCCUGGUUGCCAUUAUGUCUGACAUAAUUGGAGAGAAAAGUGCCUCCCAUCUUGGGGCUUUCCUUGUUUUUGGUGGAUAUCUGCUCAGCAGCCAGGCUACAAGCAUUCCCUUUCUUUGUGUGACUAUGGGACUUUUACCUGGUUUGGGUUCCGCUUUCCUAUACCAAGUAGCUGCAGUGGUAACUACCAAAUACUUCAAAAGACGAUUAGCUCUUUCUACAGCUAUUGCCCGUUCUGGGAUGGGACUGACGUUUCUGUUAGCACCUUUUACGAAAGUCCUGAUGGAUCUGUAUGACUGGACAGGUGCCCUUAUAUUAUUUGGAGCUAUCACAUUGAAUUUGGUGCCUUCUAGUAUGCUCUUAACACCCAUCCAGAUCAAAAGUGAGAGCAAUUCUGAUAUUAAAGAUAAAGGGAACAGUUUGCCUGCAAGUGGUCCAGAGGCAGGGUGUGGGCCAGAAACAGCAUCCUGCCGUGAGAUACAAGAGUCUACCACGAGGGACAGCACUGUGCAGAAGGCUGGACAACCCAGCACAACAUUAACGGUUUCACAAAGUCAAAACAAAGAGGUCAACAAUGGGCCCGAGAGAAACAGACUGUUCCUAAUAACUAAGGAAGAAAGUCACAAGAAAAAGGCUAUGUCAUGGAGCUGUAAACAAAAAUUCUUUGAUAUUUCUCUUUUUAAGAAUCCUUUCUUUUCCAUAUUUACUUGGACUUUUCUCCUCAGUCAGUUGGCAUAUUUUAUCCCUACCUUUCACCUGGUAGCCAGAGCCAAAACACUGGGGAUUGACAUGAUGGAUGCCUCCUACCUCAUUUCUGUAGCUGGUAUCACUGAGACAGUCAGUCAGAUUAUCUCUGGAUGGGUUGCUGAUCAAAACUGGAUGAACAAGUAUCAUUACCACAAGUCUUACCUCAUCCUCUGCGGCAUCACUAACCUGCUUGCUCCUUUAGCCACCACAUUUCCACUACUUAUGACCUAUACCAUCUUCUUUGCCAUUUUCUCUGGUGGUUACCUGGCAUUGAUACUUCCUGUACUGGUGAGUAGACACACUCAUUAACAUUGUGAAACAAUUGAGUAAAAGCAAGUAUUAAUAAUCAUCUCCCCCAAAAGAAGACAUAUUUUGUAUUAAUUUUAUAAUUUAAAAAAAUCAUACCCAAGGCCUCAGAAACCCUGUAGCUAUAUCCUGUCCAGUUAUUCAUCUUACCUUGGGGGGAGGGAUGAUGAGAGGACUAUCCACAUGGGACAGGAAAGAAAUGAAAGCAAGAAAGGGAUCAGCAGGAUUCCACUCUGCUUCUCAGUUUCCUAGGUUAGGCUGCGUCCUCAGCCAUAGGUGGAUUCAAGAAUACCACUGUCAGGUCAGACUGUAAAUACCAUUGCCUAAUAGAGAAGAGCAGUGAGGUUCAGGGAAAAAAUAGUACCCCUGAAUCAUCUAAAAGAUCAAAACAAAACAAAAACCAAUGUUCCUUACUAAUAAAAUGAAAAUAUUCCCCACCCAGUGAAACUACUGUUUCCUAUUUGCCUCAGCUCUUUCAUAAUUUGAGCGCAAAAGGCCAUCCAAAUCACCUCAGAAGUCAGCUGUUCACAGUUUGAGAUGAUAUGAAUAGUAUUUGUCCCUUUGUAGGCAGAGGACUCUACAGAAUUUCACCCUUAAUAUGGCUCACAUUGGAUUCUAAUUCCUACAGGUUGAUCUGUCUGGGAAUUCCACUGUACACAGGUUUUUGGGACUUGCCAGUUUCUUUGCUGGGAUGGCUAUUCUUGCUGGACCACCUAUAGCAG